rnacentral:rRNA from 1 species
AGUCGGCAGCUAUGAUGCAAGUCGAGCGGACAGAUGGGAGCUUGCUCCCUGAUGUUAGCGGCGGACGGGUGAGUAACACGUGGGUAACCUGCCUGUAAGACUGGGAUAACUCCGGGAAACCGGGGCUAAUACCGGAUGGUUGUUUGAACCGCAUGGUUCAGACAUAAAAGGUGGCUUCGGCUACCACUUACAGAUGGACCCGCGGCGCAUUAGCUAGUUGGUGAGGUAACGGCUCACCAAGGCAACGAUGCGUAGCCGACCUGAGAGGGUGAUCGGCCACACUGGGACUGAGACACGGCCCAGACUCCUACGGGAGGCAGCAGUAGGGAAUCUUCCGCAAUGGACGAAAGUCUGACGGAGCAACGCCGCGUGAGUGAUGAAGGUUUUCGGAUCGUAAAGCUCUGUUGUUAGGGAAGAACAAGUGCCGUUCAAAUAGGGCGGCACCUUGACGGUACCUAACCAGAAAGCCACGGCUAACUACGUGCCAGCAGCCGCGGUAAUACGUAGGUGGCAAGCGUUGUCCGGAAUUAUUGGGCGUAAAGGGCUCGCAGGCGGUUUCUUAAGUCUGAUGUGAAAGCCCCCGGCUCAACCGGGGAGGGUCAUUGGAAACUGGGGAACUUGAGUGCAGAAGAGGAGAGUGGAAUUCCACGUGUAGCGG